UACGUAGGGGGCAAGCGUUGUCCGGAUUUAUUGGGCGUAAAGCGCACGUAGGCGGGUUGUUAAGUCGGGGGUGAAAUCCUGGAGCUCAACUCCAGAACUGCCUUCGAUACUGGCGACCUUGAGUCCGGGAGAGGUGAGUGGAACUCCGAGUGUAGAGGUGAAAUUCGUAGAUAUUCGGAAGAACACCGGUGGCGAAGGCGGCAUCCUGGACCGGCAUUGACGCUAAAGCGCGAAAGCCAGGGGGAGCAAACGGG
rnacentral:rRNA from 1 species